GGCUCAGAUUGAACGCUGGCGGCAUGCUUUACACAUGCAAGUCGAACGGCAGCACGAAAGAGCUUGCUCUUUUGGUGGCGAGUGGCGAACGGGUGAGUAAUACAUUGGAACGUACCGAGUAAUGGGGGAUAACUGUCCGAAAGGAUGGCUAAUACCGCAUACGCUCUGAGGAGGAAAGCGGGGGACCUUCGGGCCUCGCGUUAUUCGAGCGGCCAAUGUCUGAUUAGCUAGUUGGUGGGGUAAAGGCCUACCAAGGCGACGAUCAGUAGUGGGUCUGAGAGGAUGAUCCGCCACACUGGGACUGAGACACGGCCCAGACUCCUACGGGAGGCAGCAGUGGGGAAUUUUGGACAAUGGGCGAAAGCCUGAUCCAGCCAUGCCGCGUGUCUGAAGAAGGCCUUCGGGUUGUAAAGGACUUUUGUCAGGGAAGAAAGGGUUUGGGUUAAU
rnacentral:rRNA from 1 species